rnacentral:rRNA from 1 species
CAGAGGUGGCAAGCGUUGUUCGGAUUUAUUGGGUGUAAAGGGCAGGUAGGUGGCCUAGCAAGUCCGAUGUGAAAUCCCAGGGCUCAACCCUGGAACUGCAUUGGAAACUGCUUGGCUUGAGUACCGGAGAGGUGAGGGGAAUUCUCGGUGUAAGGGUGAAAUCUGUAGAUAUCGAGAGGAACACCAGUGGCGAAGGCGCCUCACUGGCCGGUUACUGACACUGAGCUGCGAAAGCAAGGGGAGCAAACAGGAUUAGAUACCCUGGUAGUCCUUGCCGUAAACGAUGUCGAUUAGGUGUCAGGGGUGUCGAUCCUUCUGGCGCCGACGCUAACGCAUUAAAUCGACCACCUGGGGAGUACGGUCGCAAGACUG